rnacentral:tRNA from 1 species
UGGGCCACUAGCUCAGUCGGCUAGAGCACUGGACUUUUAAUCCAGGUGUCCCGGGUUCGAAUCCCGGGUGGCUCAU